GUAGGGAAUCUUCCACAAUGGGCGCAAGCCUGAUGGAGCAACACCGCGUGAGUGAAGAAGGGUUUCGGCUCGUAAAACUCUGUUGUUGAAGAAGAACGUGCGUGAGAGUAACUGUUCAUGCAGUGACGGUAUUCAACCAGAAAGUCACGGCUAACUACGUGCCAGCAGCCGCGGUAAUACGUAGGUGGCAAGCGUUAUCCGGAUUUAUUGGGCGUAAAGCGAGCGCAGGCGGUUACUUAAGUCUGAUGUGAAAGCCUUCGGCUUAACCGAAGAAGUGCAUCGGAAACUGGGUGACUUGAGUGCAGAAGAGGACAGUGGAACUCCAUGUGUAGCGGUGGAAUGCGUAGAUAUAUGGAAGAACACCAGUGGCGAAGGCGGCUGUCUGGUCUGCAACUGACGCUGAGGCUCGAAAGCAUGGGUAGCGAACAGGAUUAGAAACCCUAGUAGUCC
rnacentral:rRNA from 1 species